GUAGAUGAAGAUAUGGGUUUAGAGUUUUACUCUAAAAGAUAUGAGCUAGUAGUGUGAGACAUUAGACAUUAUUAAAUUCUCUACAUGAGUAGUUUUAUUUUAGAACCAAGAUACAAUGUUUUUAUAUAUAUAAAGGUUAUAUUAUUAUAGUCCUAUCUUUUGGAUGACUGUACUAAUAUACUUUAUAUUAUGAAUUAUCUGUUUU
rnacentral:lncRNA from 1 species